rnacentral:misc_RNA from 1 species
UGAAGUCGGUUACAAGGUAGCCGUACCGGAAGGUGCGGCUGGAUCACCUCCUUUCUAAGGAGCGCCAUCCGUCGAAGGGCGGUAUGGAGCCUCGGUUGCCUGUGUUGGGUGAUGGGGUGCUCAUUGGUCGGAGACACUGGCUAGUCAGUUUUGGCAGCGGUUUGAUGCUCUUGUACACGCUCUCUUCGGGGGGUGGUUGGAAGGGGUUGAUGAUGCGGCUGGGGUUGGCGUUGGACACCCUGUUGGGUCCUGAAGGAAUGACCGUGUGGUUGUUUCUUGGGCCGUUGUUCCUGUGAUGUCACCGGUUGGUGGUGUUGCGGGGGUGGUGGUUUGCCUGGCGUGGCUUGUCUCGUAUACCGGGUGCUGGUUCUGCCCUUGUGGGGGUGGGGUUGGUGUUGCUGGUGCGGGGUGGUGGUUGCGGGUUGGUUGUUUGUUGAGAAUUACACAGUGGACGCGAGCAU